rnacentral:rRNA from 1 species
CCUACGGGAGGCAGCAGUGAGGAAUAUUGGUCAAUGGACGAGAGUCUGAACCAGCCAAGUAGCGUGAAGGAUGACUGCCCUAUGGGUUGUAAACUUCUUUUAUAUGGGAAUAAAAUGUUCCACGUGUGGGAUUUUGUAUGUACCAUAUGAAUAAGGAUCGGCUAACUCCGUGCCAGCAGCCGCGGUAAUACGGAGGAUCCGAGCGUUUUCCUGAUUUAUUGGGUUUAAAGGGAGCGUAGGUGGAUUGUUAAGUCAGUUGUGAAAGUUUGCGGCUCAACCGUAAAAUUGCAGUUGAAACUGGCAGUCUUGAGUACAGUAGAGGUGGGCGGAAUUCGUGGUGUAGCGGUGAAAUGCUUAGAUAUCACGAAGAACUCCGAUUGCGAAGGCAGUUCACUGGACUGCAACUGACACUGAGGCUCGAAAGUGUGGGUAUCAAACAGGAUUAGAUACCCGGGUAGUC